CAUCACAAAGGAGCCUACGGCCACGUCUCAAUGCUCAUGAUAGAUCAAUUAUAUGGAUACUUUAUAAUUUUUUGCGUCGAUUAAUGCGUGUCGAAUGUGCACUGAUCUAUUGUCACCGCGAUCCGGUACCGAUAUGGAGAUGAUGGUACAGAUCUACGAAACACUUAUUACGUUUGAUAUAAAGCGUAUUAUCGCUUAUUUUACAAUGGUAUGAUUUGGUUAUACCUUAAUGUGACAUUGUGUGCGUUUAAGUCCGGUACCAUUGAACGGAGGACGCGGGCAUUAGUGGUCCGCGCACGAAGGGACCCCGGUCGCGUAUAUAAGGAUACGGCGCGGCGGGAGGAACUGACACAUAUCAAGCAGCAAUCCCGUCUAGUGCAGGCUAGAGCAGGCUUUGGUGGCUUUUUUUAAACCACACAUUACCACGAUGAUGAAAUUGAUGGCAUUGGUUGUGUGCCUUCUGGCGGCGCUGGUGCUGAGCCCUGCAGAGGCGAAACCACAGGUGCUGGUCGACUAUGGGUACUCCGCCGGCUACUACGCGCCCGCCUACGUCUCCCCCUACAGCGCUGUCGCCUACUCCUACCCUUACGCCUACACGUACUCUUACCCCUACGCGUACUACUAGAAAGACCGAGUAGCUUGAGUGGGCUUCGUCGGACAAAGCAGUCAUGAGUUAUCGUUAUUUUACUAUGUUCAAAUAAUUAAGAAUUUCGUACAAUAUAGCUACCAAAAUAUCCGUAUUGACGUAGCUAUUUGCUAAUUCCUUUUAACGAAUGACAAUGAUAAUCGACGAUUAACAUGGCUCGAGAAUUUAUCCAGAUACUCAUAAACAGUUUUGCGAAGAUAUUAGAUAUGUAUAAUUAAUUAAUUAUCUAACUAACCUGUGAUGUAAGUAAGUAAUAAUUCUAUAUUAAAUGUAUAAUUAGUGUAAUGUACCUAUACCUAAUAUAUAUAUUUUAUUUCGGUCCAGGCCUCACAACCGGUGUACAACUUUGUUAUAGUGUAAGAGCUCUUAGUGAUUGUAUUUUUAUUAGCGAACAGUAAUUCACUUUCAAUUGCUAAUUAUUGUUACCAAGAUAUUGGGUAGACCUGUUGGUUCUUAAUGAAACAAUCGGCCUUGACUGAUUAUUUUUUUUCUGUGUAAUGGCGUUAAAUGAUUGCUAAUACAUUUGUUGUUAAGAUA